rnacentral:rRNA from 1 species
CAAUAGCUACUUGCAUCAUUGUAAAUAUGAUGCAAGAUCGACUAUGUCGAAUAAAAUUCUAGGUAGAAUUAUGAUAAUGACAUUGUCUGCCUAUGUGUCUUGACCAAAUUACGUGCCAGCAGUCGCGGUAAUACGUAGAAGACUAGUGUUAUUCAUGUUUAAUCGGUUUAAAGGGUACCUAGACGGUAAAUCAAGCCUAAAAGGAAAUAAAUGAAGGGACUAAUUUACUAGAGUUACUUAUGAGGGGGUAUUAAAGUACUGCUGGUGUAGAGAUGAAAUUCUGUCAUACCUCUUUUCAAUAGAAAAAUAAUGGCACAGGUAUAGGCGAAAGCAUCCCCUUAUGUGAUAACUGACGUUGAGGGACGAAGGCUUUGUGUAGCGAACAGGAUUAGAUACCCCAGUAGUCAAAGCAGAAAAUGAUGAAUGUCAUAGAUUAGAUAUAUAAGUUUAUUCUAUAAAUGAAAGUGUAAGCAUUCCACCUCAAGAGUAAUUUGGCAACAUUGGAACUGAAAUCAUUAGACCGUUUCUGAAACCAGUAGUGAAGUAUGUUGUUUAAUUUGAUGAUCCGCAAAAAACCUUACCACAAUUUGAAUAUUUAUAUCUUUUAUUGUUUUUCUUUUUAACUUUUUCUAAUUUUCUACUUAAAAGAAAAAAAAUAACAAGAAAAAAGAGACAAUAAGA